UUAAGCGACUAAGCGUACACGGUGGAUGCCCUGGCAGUCAGAGGCGAUGAAGGACGUGCUAAUCUGCGAUAAGCGUCGGUGAGGUGAUAUGAACCGUUAUAACCGGCGAUUUCCGAAUGGGGAAACCCAGUGUGUUUCGACACACUAUCAUUAACUGAAUCCAUAGGUUAAUGAGGCGAACCGGGGGAACUGAAACAUCUAAGUACCCCGAGGAAAAGAAAUCAACCGAGAUUCCCCCAGUAGCGGCGAGCGAACGGGGAGGAGCCCAGAGCCUGAAUCAGUGUGUGUGUUAGUGGAAGCGUCUGGAAAGGCGCGCGAUACAGGGUGACAGCCCCGUACACAAAAAUGCACAUAUUGUGAGCUCGAUGAGUAGGGCGGGACACGUGGUAUCCUGUCUGAAUAUGGGGGGACCAUCCUCCAAGGCUAAAUACUCCUGACUGACCGAUAGUGAACCAGUACCGUGAGGGAAAGGCGAAAAGAACCCCGGCGAGGGGAGUGAAAAAGAACCUGAAACCGUGUACGUACAAGCAGUGGGAGCCUCUUAAUGGGGUGACUGCGUACCUUUUGUAUAAUGGGUCAGCGACUUAUAUUCUGUAGCAAGGUUAACCGAAUAGGGGAGCCGAAGGGAAACCGAGUCUUAACUGGGCGUUAAGUUGCAGGGUAUAGACCCGAAACCCGGUGAUCUAGCCAUGGGCAGGUUGAAGGUUGGGUAACACUAACUGGAGGACCGAACCGACUAAUGUUGAAAAAUUAGCGGAUGACUUGUGGCUGGGGGUGAAAGGCCAAUCAAACCGGGAGAUAGCUGGUUCUCCCCGAAAGCUAUUUAGGUAGCGCCUCGUGAAUUCAUCUCCGGGGGUAGAGCACUGUUUCGGCAAGGGGGUCAUCCCGACUUACCAACCCGAUGCAAACUGCGAAUACCGGAGAAUGUUAUCACGGGAGACACACGGCGGGUGCUAACGUCCGUCGUGAAGAGGGAAACAACCCAGACCGCCAGCUAAGGUCCCAAAGUCAUGGUUAAGUGGGAAACGAUGUGGGAAGGCCCAGACAGCCAGGAUGUUGGCUUAGAAGCAGCCAUCAUUUAAAGAAAGCGUAAUAGCUCACUGGUCGAGUCGGCCUGCGCGGAAGAUGUAACGGGGCUAAACCAUGCACCGAAGCUGCGGCAGCGACGCUUAUGCGUUGUUGGGUAGGGGAGCGUUCUGUAAGCCUGUGAAGGUGUGCUGUGAGGCAUGCUGGAGGUAUCAGAAGUGCGAAUGCUGACAUAAGUAACGAUAAAGCGGGUGAAAAGCCCGCUCGCCGGAAGACCAAGGGUUCCUGUCCAACGUUAAUCGGGGCAGGGUGAGUCGACCCCUAAGGCGAGGCCGAAAGGCGUAGUCGAUGGGAAACAGGUUAAUAUUCCUGUACUUGGUGUUACUGCGAAGGGGGGACGGAGAAGGCUAUGUUGGCCGGGCGACGGUUGUCCCGGUUUAAGCGUGUAGGCUGGUUUUCCAGGCAAAUCCGGAAAACCAAGGCUGAGGCGUGAUGACGAGGCACUACGGUGCUGAAGCAACAAAUGCCCUGCUUCCAGGAAAAGCCUCUAAGCAUCAGGUAACAUCAAAUCGUACCCCAAACCGACACAGGUGGUCAGGUAGAGAAUACCAAGGCGCUUGAGAGAACUCGGGUGAAGGAACUAGGCAAAAUGGUGCCGUAACUUCGGGAGAAGGCACGCUGAUAUGUAGGUGAAGCGACUUGCUCGUGGAGCUGAAAUCAGUCGAAGAUACCAGCUGGCUGCAACUGUUUAUUAAAAACACAGCACUGUGCAAACACGAAAGUGGACGUAUACGGUGUGACGCCUGCCCGGUGCCGGAAGGUUAAUUGAUGGGGUUAGCGGUAACGCGAAGCUCUUGAUCGAAGCCCCGGUAAACGGCGGCCGUAACUAUAACGGUCCUAAGGUAGCGAAAUUCCUUGUCGGGUAAGUUCCGACCUGCACGAAUGGCGUAAUGAUGGCCAGGCUGUCUCCACCCGAGACUCAGUGAAAUUGAACUCGCUGUGAAGAUGCAGUGUACCCGCGGCAAGACGGAAAGACCCCGUGAACCUUUACUAUAGCUUGACACUGAACAUUGAGCCUUGAUGUGUAGGAUAGGUGGGAGGCUUUGAAGUGUGGACGCCAGUCUGCAUGGAGCCGACCUUGAAAUACCACCCUUUAAUGUUUGAUGUUCUAACGUUGGCCCGUAAUCCGGGUUGCGGACAGUGUCUGGUGGGUAGUUUGACUGGGGCGGUCUCCUCCUAAAGAGUAACGGAGGAGCACGAAGGUUGGCUAAUCCUGGUCGGACAUCAGGAGGUUAGUGCAAUGGCAUAAGCCAGCUUGACUGCGAGCGUGACGGCGCGAGCAGGUGCGAAAGCAGGUCAUAGUGAUCCGGUGGUUCUGAAUGGAAGGGCCAUCGCUCAACGGAUAAAAGGUACUCCGGGGAUAACAGGCUGAUACCGCCCAAGAGUUCAUAUCGACGGCGGUGUUUGGCACCUCGAUGUCGGCUCAUCACAUCCUGGGGCUGAAGUAGGUCCCAAGGGUAUGGCUGUUCGCCAUUUAAAGUGGUACGCGAGCUGGGUUUAGAACGUCGUGAGACAGUUCGGUCCCUAUCUGCCGUGGGCGCUGGAGAACUGAGGGGGGCUGCUCCUAGUACGAGAGGACCGGAGUGGACGCAUCACUGGUGUUCGGGUUGUCAUGCCAAUGGCACUGCCCGGUAGCUAAAUGCGGAAGAGAUAAGUGCUGAAAGCAUCUAAGCACGAAACUUGCCCCGAGAUGAGUUCUCCCUGAGACUUAGAGUCUCCUGAAGGAACGUUGAAGACGACGACGUUGAUAGGCCGGGUGUGUAAGCGCAGCGAUGCGUUGAGCUAACCGGUACUAAUGAACCGUGAGGCUUAACCUU
rnacentral:rRNA from 4 species